UAUUUUGGAAAACGGAGCAAACAUUCUUCCUUGAAAACCAACUACACAGAGACUACUGAUUCAAGCUACUGUCACUCAAGAAAAGGAACAACACUAGUGAUAGUCCUUCGAAGAAAUAAAGUGUUAUCAAUUCACAGAGUCAUUUCCAUUCAAACAUUCCAAACCCCGCAGAGUGAGCAAACGUUCAAGUUUCUACUACGAAAACAAUCUGUAGCCUUCUGGUUACUGGAUUCACUUCAACACUUCCCAGACGAACGAAAGAAGAAACAUUCCGCACAUCUUCAUGCCUCCUUCUUCUCACACAAAGCUUCGCGGCUCCCCUUCCAAAGCCACCCCUGGCUGGAGAAGCAACACCUCUCGGCAGGGUCGGGCCGGCGCCCACAACCAGGGCGACCCUGUGACCCGGGGGUCUUCGCCACACGUCACCCCCUCCCACCGUCCGGCAGGCUCAGAGUUCCUACCCCGCCCGGGAAGCCCCCCGCGACCCCAACCCCGCCCCGGGAGCCUCGGGCACCCUCCCGCUCCGGGUGGGGUGCUCAAACAACGCCACACGCCGCCCCAGCCUCCGCCAGGCCCGGCCAGCCGCACACCCCCUGGCGCUCGGUCCGCGCCCCCUCGCUCCCCAGAAGGCAGCCCGGCCCUCGGACCGCUCCGCCCGACGCCACCUCUCCGCUGAGAGGCGGGAGCAGGGGCCGCCGACGGCUGCUCCGCACGUCCACCCGCGCUCGGACACACGCCCCCGCCCCGCCCGCGCUCCCCGCCCGGCGUUCGCGUGGCGGCCGCCAGGCCAGNGAGGAGGAGCAGCGGGACGCGGAGCAGCGGCCGCCGCCUCCAUGGUCCCGCCGCCACCGCCUGUGGCCCGGUCCGGCCCGGCCGCCGCCUCGCCUCAGCAAGCCUCGCCUCGCCCCACCUCCCGCCGCCGCGGCGGCCUCGCUCCGGCCCUUUGUAACUGCUCGGGGGCUGCGCGUCCAUUGGCUGCCGGGCUCCCGCCGGCCCCGCCUCCCGGCUGUCGGCGAGCAGCCGAGCGGG
rnacentral:lncRNA from 1 species